rnacentral:rRNA from 1 species
CACGGUCCAGACUCCUACGGGAGGCAGCAGUAGGGAAUAUUGCUCAAUGGGGGAAACCCUGAAGCAGCAACGCCGCGUGGAGGAUGAAGGUUUUAGGAUUGUAAACUCCUUUUGUUAGAGAAGAUAAUGACGGUAUCUAACGAAUAAGCACCGGCUAACUCCGUGCCAGCAGCCGCGGUAAUACGGAGGGUGCAAGCGUUACUCGGAAUCACUGGGCGUAAAGAGCGCGUAGGCGGGAUAGUCAGUCAGGUGUGAAAUCCUAUGGCUUAACCAUAGAACUGCAUUUGAAACUACUAUUCUAGAGUGUGGGAGAGGUAGGUGGAAUUCUUGGUGUAGGGGUAAAAUCCGUAGAGAUCAAGAGGAAUACUCAUUGCGAAGGCGACCUGCUGGAACAUUACCUGACGCUGAUUGCCA